rnacentral:rRNA from 1 species
AAUGCGGGACUCUAAGAGGCCCCGUAAUUGGAAUGAGUACACCUUAAAUCGUUUAACGAGUAUCAAUUGGAGGGCAAGUCUGGUGCCAGCAGCCGCGGUAAUUCCAGCUCCAAUAGCGUAUAUUAAAGUUGCUGCAGUUAAAAAGCUCGUAGUUGGAUCUGGGGCUUGAGGUCGCUGUCUAUCGUUUCGGCGAUGACGGUGAUGCUCAGCUCUGCUUGCCGGUGACUGUUGCGGUGUUCUUCACUGAGCGCUGUAGCAGCACGGCACGUUUACUUUGAAAAAAUUAGAGUGCUCAAAGCGUGCUUGUCGCUUGAAUAAUGUUGCAUGGAAUAAUGGAAUAGGACCUCGGUUCUAUUUUGUUGGUUUUCGGAGCUUGAGGUAAUGAUUAAGAGGGACGAACGGGGGCAUUCGUAUUGCGGUGUUAGAGGUGAAAUUCUUGGAUCGCCGCAAGACGGACUACUGCGAAAGCAUUUGCCAAGAACGCUUUCAUUAAUUAAGAACGAAAGUCAGAGGUUCGAAGACGAUCAGACACCGUCCUAGUUCUGACCAUAAACGAUGCCGACCAGCGAUCCGUAGUGGUUGCUUUAUGGACCCUACGGGCAGCCUCCGGGAAACCAAAGUAUUUGGGUUCCGGGGGAAGUAUGGUUGCAAAGCUGAAACUUAAAGGAAUUGACGGAAGGGCACACCAGGAGUGGAGCCUGCGGCUUAAUUUGACCCAACACGGGAAAACUCACCGGUCCGGACACCGUAAGGAUUGACAGACUGAUAGCUCUUUCUUGAUUCGGUGGAUGGUGGUGCAUGGCCGUUCUUAGUUGGUGGAGUGAUUUGUCUGGUUAAUUCCGAUAACGAACGAGACUCUAGCCUGCUAAGUAGUGUUGCUAUUGUUAUAUGGUUGACACUUCUUAGAGGGACAAGUGGCAUUUAGCCACGCGAAAUUGAGCAAUAACAGGUCUGUGAUGCCCUUAGACGUCCGGGGCCGCACGCGCGCUACACUGGAGAAGUCAGCGUGUGUUAUCCAAGUCCGAAAGGACUGGGUAAUCCGUUGAACCUUCUUCGUGCUUGGGACUGUGGCUUGGAACUAUUCCACAUGAACGAGGAAUUCCUAGUAAUUGCAAGUCAUAAGCUUGCGUUGAUUACGUCCCUGCCCUUUGUACACACCGCCCGUCGCUACUACCGAUUGAAUGGUUUAGCAAGGUCCUCGGAUCGUGGCCGUAGGGGCACGCAAGUGUUUCUGCGGUUUGCGAGAAGACGACCAAACUUGAUCAUUUAGA